rnacentral:rRNA from 1 species
AUUGAACGCUGGCGGCAUGCCUUACACAUGCAAGUCGAACGGUAACAGGUUAAGCUGACGAGUGGCGAACGGGUGAGUAAUGUAUCGGAACGUGCCCAGUCGUGGGGGAUAACUGCUCGAAAGAGCAGCUAAUACCGCAUACGACCUGAGGGUGAAAGCGGGGGAUCGCAAGACCUCGCGCGAUUGGAGCUGCCGAUAUCAGAUUAGGUAGUUGGUGAGGUAAAGGCUCACCAAGCCGACGAUCUGUAGCUGGUCUGAGAGGACGACCAGCCACACUGGGACUGAGACACGGCCCAGACUCCUACGGGAGGCAGCAGUGGGGAAUUUUGGACAAUGGGCGCAAGCCUGAUCCAGCCAUGCCGCGUGAGGGAAGAAGGCCUUCGGGUUGUAAACCGCUUUUGUCAGGGAAGAAAAGGUUCUGGCUAAUACCUGGGACUCAUGACGGUACCUGAAGAAUAAGCACCGGCUAACUACGUG